rnacentral:rRNA from 1 species
GUUNGANUAGGCCAUGCAAGUCAAAUGUUCUUCGUGAACAUGGCGGACUGCUCAGUAACACGUGGAUAACCUGCCNUUAGGAUUGGCAUAACACCGGGAAACUGGUGAUAAUACCGAAUAGACCAUUUAUGCUGGAAUGCUUUUUGGUUCAAAGGCUUCGGCUGCNUAAGGAUGGAUCUGCGGCCUAUCAGGUAGUAGUGGGUGUAAUGUACCUACUAGCNUACGACGGGUACGGGUUGUGAGAGCAAGAGCCCGGAGAUGGAUUCUGAGACAUGAAUCCAGGCCCUACGGGGCGCAGCAGGCGCGAAAACUUUACAAUGCGGGAAACCGCGAUAAGGGGACACUGAGUGCCAGCAUAUUAUGUUGGCUGUCCACAUGUAUAAAAACCAUGUGUUAGCAAGGGCCGGGCAAGACCGGUGCCAGCCGCCGCGGUAACACCGGCGGCCCGAGUGGUGAUCACUUUUAUUGGGUCUAAAGGGUCCGUAGCCGGUUUGAUCAGUCCUCUGGGAAAUCUGACAGCUCAACUGUUAGGCUUCCAGGGGAUACUGUCAGACUUGGGACCGGGAGAGGUAAGAGGUACUACAGGGGUAGGAGUGAAAUCUUGUAAUCCCUGUGGGACCACCAGUGGCGAAGGCGUCUUACCAGAACGGGUCCGACGGUGAGGGACGAAAGCUGGGGGCACGAACCGGAUUAGAUACCCGGGUAGUCCCAGCCGUAAACGAUGCUCGCUAGGUGUCAGGGACGGUGCGACCGUUUCUGGUGCCGCAGGGAAGCCGUGAAGCGAGCCACCUGGGAAGUACGGCCGCAAGGCUGAAACUUAA